AGUGUACGCUGGUGGUAGGCCUAACACAUGCAAGUCGAACGGCAGCACAGUAAGAGCUUGCUCUUACGGGUGGCGAGUGGCGGACGGGUGAGGAAUACAUCGGAAUCUACUUUUUCGUGGGGGAUAACGUAGGGAAACUUACGCUAAUACCGCAUACGACCUACGGGUGAAAGCAGGGGAUCUUCGGACCUUGCGCGAUUGAAUGAGCCGAUGUCGGAUUAGUUAGUUGGCGGGGUAAAGGCCCACCAAGGCGACGAUCCGUAGCUGGUCUGAGAGGAUGAUCAGCCACACUGGAACUGAGACACGGUCCAGACUCCUACGGGAGGCAGCAGUGGGGAAUAUUGGACAAUGGGCGCAAGCCUGAUCCAGCCAUACCGCGUGGGUGAAGAAGGCCUUCGGGUUGUAAAGCCCUUUUGUUGGGAAAGAAAAGCAGCAGGUUAAUACCCCGCUGUUCUGACGGUACCCAAAGAAUAAGCACCGGCUAACUUCGUG
rnacentral:rRNA from 1 species